GAUAAACGCUGGCGGCGUGCCUAAUACAUGCAAGUCGAGCGAACGGACGAGAAGCUUGCUUCUCUGAUGUUAGCGGCGGACGGGUGAGUAACACGUGGAUAACCUACCUAUAAGACUGGGAUAACUUCGGGAAACCGGAGCUAAUACCGGAUAAUAUUUUGAACCGCAUGGUUCAAAAGUGAAAGACGGUCUUGCUGUCACUUAUAGAUGGAUCCGCGCUGCAUUAGCUAGUUGGUAAGGUAACGGCUUACCAAGGCAACGAUGCAUAGCCGACCUGAGAGGGUGAUCGGCCACACUGGAACUGAGACACGGUCCAGACUCCUACGGGAGGCAGCAGUAGGGAAUCUUCCGCAAUGGGCGAAAGCCUGACGGAGCAACGCCGCGUGAGUGAUGAAGGUCUUCGGAUCGUAAAACUCUGUUAUUAGGGAAGAACAUAUGUGUAAGUAACUGUGCACAUCUUGACGGUACCUAAUCAGAAAGCCACGGCUAACUACGUGCCAGCAGCCGCGGUAAUACGUANGUGGCAAGCGUUAUCCGGAAUUUAUGGGCGUAAAGCGCGCGUAGGCGGUUUUUUAAGUCUGAUGUGAAAGCCCACGGCUCAACCGUGGAGGGUCAUUGGAAACUGGAAAACUUGAGUGCAGAAGAGGAAAGUGGAAUUCCAUGUGUAGCGGUGAAAUGCGCAGAGAUAUGGAGGAACACCAGUGGCGAAGGCGACUUUCUGGUCUGUAACUGACGCUGAUGUGCGAAAGCGUGGGGAUCAAACAGGAUUAGAUACCCUGGUAGUCCACGCCGUAAACGAUGAGUGCUAAGUGUUAGGGGGUUUCCGCCCCUUAGUGCUGCAGCUAACGCAUUAAGCACUCCGCCUGGGGAGUACGACCGCAAGGUUGAAACUCAAAGGAAUUGACGGGGACCCGCACAAGCGGUGGAGCAUGUGGUUUAAUUCGAAGCAACGCGAAGAACCUUACCAAAUCUUGACAUCCUUUGACAACUCUAGAGAUAGAGCCUUCCCCUUCGGGGGACAAAGUGACAGGUGGUGCAUGGUUGUCGUCAGCUCGUGUCGUGAGAUGUUGGGUUAAGUCCCGCAACGAGCGCAACCCUUAAGCUUAGUUGCCAUCACUAAGUUGGGCACUCUAAGUUGACUGCCGGUGACAAACCGGAGGAAGGUGGGGAUGACGUCAAAUCAUCAUGCCCCUUAUGAUUUGGGCUACACACGUGCUACAAUGGACAAUACAAAGGGCAGCGAAACCGCGAGGUCAAGCAAAUCCCAUAAAGUUGUUCUCAGUUCGGAUUGUAGUCUGCAACUCGACUACAUGAAGCUGGAAUCGCUAGUAAUCGUAGAUCAGCAUGCUACGGUGAAUACGGUCCCGGGUCU
rnacentral:rRNA from 1 species